GGGCGCAUUUGCUGCUGCUGCUGCUGCUGCUGCGGGAGGCGGCUGGCGGUGCUCGGCCCGCGGCGGCACGAUGGGCGUGCGGCGCUGGCUGCUGGCGCUGCUGCUGCUCUGGCUGGCCCUCAGCCCCGGCGACGGAGGGCCUUUGACUGAAACAUCUGAUGACGGGAAGGAGCCCCGGGAAGGGCCCAUCCGGAACCUGGUGCAUCAUCCCAAAGGAUUCCGGAGUGCUAUGGGACAUCGGGCGACUGGCUGGCGGAAAUACCGGCGCCCUCGCCCUCGCCUCUCCCAUAAGGGACCCAUGCCUUUCUAGCACAGGGUCAAAGCCCUCUCUGGGAAGCCACCCCCUGUUUCUGUGACCUCUCUGCUUGAUAAACCGUCCGCUUGUGCAAGGCUUCCCCCCCGUGGUAGAAUGUGGCCCCUCCCGUCUGCUCUGUUGCUAUGGACAGCACUGAGCAUAAGGGCUGCGUGUGCAGCCUCGUCCUCCCAUGUUUCUGUUUUUCCUACUCAGGCUGGUCUCAGUUGGUGGCACCUCUUCUCUUUGCCUUGCCAUGUUGCCAUCUGCAGAACUUGAGAAAUAGAGGAUGCUGGGAUUACCAGGUGAUGGGAAAGAGACUGGUAGCAAUGGAGCUGGAAGGGUGCUCUCUCCUUUGUUUUGCAUCCAGGGGCGGACUGGCCCUUCAACUUACUGGGAAGGUUUCCAAGGGGCCACUGCCUUAGGGAGCCCGCUGGUGGCCUGGGGUAAGCUGAACCAAGUGGCCCUUAUGGUGCUGGCCAGGCCCCAGCUGCCAUGCAGCACUGAUGUGAGCUUUGGCAGUGAAAAGAACCAGUGUAGGCUUGUCCGACGGCUGAGCCUACACUGUGGUCUCUGUUGUCCUGGUCCCGGCCUGAUCCAAGCAGACCCUUCAGUGCGGCCAGCCUGGCAAAGCUCUCUUGGGCUCAGCUUGCGCUGGGGCCAUUUGAAUGUCCCUGCCUACUCCUUGUUUAUGUCCCUCAUGGAAGAAGGUGCACAAUGCAUUUUUGUUUUGAGGGAUGCUCCAAGGCAUGGUUCGUGGUGAAAACACUCCUCCAGUGGGGCGAGGAGGAGCUGUGAUCCUUCUCAGUGCCCCCCCCCCCAGCUGCUAAGCCACUGCAGUUGCAGAGGAGGCAGUUGGCACAAGGCCUUUGGGCCUGCGAGAAGCACUUUGUCAGAUGGAGAAUCCCCUCCCCGGGGUCUCUGGGAUCCCAUUUUGCAUCUGCCCCCUCCACUGAACAUUCACAAUAGGGUAGCCGCCUCUUUAAAAAAAACUCUGAUGCUUUUACCUGCUGCAACGUAUGCAGAAAUGCAGCAGCUAAAACUUUCCCCUUAGAUGCAGCUUCUUGCCUAGAAAAGCUGCAGGUGCUGAUUUCCUUGCAAACUGUUCGAGGCAUGAGGUGGCGAUCCUGUUCUGGGGUCUGCCUUUAGUUUGGCCUGUUUCAUGAGUCUUGGCCUUUAUUGGUGCAAAAUUCAGACUUUUGGAGGGAGGGGCAGGAAGGCAGAGCCCUGCGUGUAACUAUGGGUGAAUUUGCAAACCUCCCCUGCCCAGGACCGCCUCUCUACCUUGCCCAAAAGCCAGUUUUGACCAACCUGGGCAGGUGCCUGUCUGUUACAUGUUGCCCUUCCCACACUUCAGCACUCUUCUCAACGAGUUAAGCCAGGAUAUAAAUCUCCUGGCAAGAUCUCCUGGUGCUUAACUUGGCAGCUUGUCUUCAAAGCAACAGCCACUAUAGCAGGCCAAAAGGGUGCAGCACCCACUUUCUUUCGCCAGAAAGACCUGUACAGCCAUAAGCAUAAGCCAUGAAUUGAGAAAUCCAGAUUCAAAUGUUAACAUCAGCCACUGACUUACUUAAGUGACUUUUCUCUCUGCUUCAGGCUCACCUCUGCAAGGUGGAGGAUUACAAUUCAGGCCUAUCUUACAGGGGUGUUGUAACUUAGAUGAUGUAUGUAAUAACAUUUUGAACCCUUGCAAUGUGCUAUGUAAUUGCAAACUGUUAUUAAGAGGUGAAUUGAACUGGAGAUGCCAUUUAUCUUGUUUUAAAAUUCCUGUCUGUGGCCUUGGUAUUAUCAUGCAGUCAAGGAGUGUGUUGGAGGGAGGAUGUCUGCUCCUCUCUUGAGUGGAAAGAGGGGUAAGUGGGUGCAUUCACUGUCUUAUCUUUUGCACUUGGACAUUUGGGGCUGGAUAUGUUGUGGGCAAAUGGUGGAGAUUUUAGAGAGCCUGGGGUAGGAGCUCACAUCUGUAUAACCUUUUUCAGGUGGCUGUUAAAUUCUUUGUAUAAAAAAACCACUAAUUUAUACCAAUGAGGAACAUCUUGUUUAAAAUCCUUGUUGGUAAUUUUUUUUUGUAUGUGCGUGUCUGUAAAGAUUUGUUCUGUGUAAAUACGGCUUUAUAAUAAAGACAGAUGAAAACAAUAAAUCCUUAUUUUUAGAGUUUGA